rnacentral:rRNA from 1 species
AUUGAACGCUGGCGGCAGGCAUAACACAUGCAAGUCGAACGAGGGGGGGAAGGGUGAAUAAUGUCUGGGAAACUGCCUGAUGGAGGGGGAUAACUACUGGAAACGGUAGCUAAUACCGCAUACCAUCGGAUGUGCCCAGAUGGGGUUAGCUAGUAGGUGGGGUAAAGGCUCACCUAGGGGACGAUCCCUAGCUGGUCUGAGAGGUGGACCAUCCACACUGGAACUGAGACACGGUCCAGACUCCUACGGUAGGCAGCAGUGGGGAAUAUGGGACAAUGGGCGCAAGCCUGAUGCAGCCAUGCCGCGUGUAUGAAGAAGUCCUUCGGGUUGUAAAGUACUUUCAGCGGGGAGGCGUUACCCGCAGAAGAAGCACCGGCUAACUCCGUGCCAGCAGCCGCGGUAAUUC